CAUUAGAUAUCUUAAUUAAAGAAAUGAUCUUUUAAAUCAUUAAUAGUAAUUUUAAAUUUACUUCUAAUGA
rnacentral:tRNA from 1 species